GAUGAACGCUGGCGGCGUGCCUAAUACAUGCAAGUCGAGCGAACGGACAAGGAGCUUGCUCCUUUGAAGUUAGCGGCGGACGGGUGAGUAACACGUGGGUAACCUACCUAUAAGACUGGAAUAACUCCGGGAAACCGGGGCUAAUGCCGGAUAACAUGUUGAACCGCAUGGUUCAACAGUGAAAGACGGUCUUGCUGUCACUUAUAGAUGGACCCUCGCCGUAUUAGCUAGUUGGUGGGGUAACGGCCUACCAAGGCGACGAUACGUAGCCGACCUGAGAGGGUGAUCGGCCACACUGGAACUGAGACACGGUCCAGACUCCUACGGGAGGCAGCAGUAGGGAAUCUUCCGCAAUGGGCGAAAGCCUGACGGAGCAACGCCGCGUGAGUGAUGAAGGUCUUCGGAUCGUAAAGCUCUGUUGUUAGGGAAGAACAAAUGUGUAAGUAACUGUGCACGUCUCGACGGUACCUAACCAGAAAGCCACGGCUAACUACGUGCCAGCAGCCGCGGUAAUACGUAGGUGGCAAGCGUUAUCCGGAAUUAUUGGGCGUAAAGCGCGCGUAGGCGGUUUUUUAGUCUGAUGUGAAAGCCCACGGCUCAACCGUGGAGGGUCAUUGGAAACUGGAAAACUUGAGUGCAGAAGAGGAAAGUGGAAUUCCAUGUGUAGCGGUGAAAUGCGCAGAGAUAUGGAGGAACACCAGUGGCGAAGGCGGCUUUCUGGUCUGCAACUGACGCUGAUGUGCGAAAGCGUGGGGAUCAAACAGGAUUAGAUACCCUAGUAGUCCACGCCGUAAACGAUGAGUGCUAAGUGUUAGGGGGUUUCCGCCCCUUAGUGCUGCAGCUAACGCAUUAAGCACUCCGCCUGGGGAGUACGGUCGCAAGACUGAAGCUCAAAGGAAUUGACGGGGACCCGCACAAGCGGUGGAGCAUGUGGUUUAAUUCGAAGCAACGCGAAGAACCUUACCAAAUCUUGACAUCCUUUGACCGCUCUAGAGAUAGAGUUUUCCUCUUCGGAGGACAAAGCGACAGGUGGUGCAUGGUUGUCGUCAGCUCGUGUCGUGAGAUGUUGGGUUAAGUCCCGCAACGAGCGCAACCCUUGAGCUUAGUUGCCAUCAUUAAGUUGGGCACUCUAAGUUGACUGCCGGUGACAAACCGGAGGAAGGUGGGGAUGACGUCAAAUCAUCAUGCCCCUUAUGAUUUGGGCUACACACGUGCUACAAUGGACAAUACAAAGGGCAGCGAAACCGCGAGGUCAAGCAAAUCCCAUAAAGUUGUUCUCAGUUCGGAUUGUAGUCUGCAACUCGACUACAUGAAGCUGGAAUCGCUAGUAAUCGUAGAUCAGCAUGCUACGGUGAAUACGUUCCCGGGUCU
rnacentral:rRNA from 1 species